CGACAAGCUCAGUGUUUUAGCCACUGAGCCAUUGCAUCCCUAGCUCUUUUACAUUAUAUAUUCUGUUAUGUCUCCUUUUGGAGACAUAUUAUGUUGCCUUUUGGAAAAACACCUUUGGGUCUCUUGUUCAUGGGGCAGCCAUGGGAAAAUUGUGAUCAUCUUCUGAAGCGAUGGUGAGGACCCAUUGUGCAGCUUCUGUGCAAGAGUUCUUCUUAGGCAGAGAAAAGAGCAGUGUGAGAUAUAACUGAGGCUGACUGUUUGGAGUUAUGGAGCAGAGAGCUAGGAUGACUUCAGCCAAGGACCAUUAGCUAAUGCAUUUAUUGUAGAAUUUCUUGAAUGCAGAGAAGUUGAAGGAGUCAGUCUGCCAAAUUGCCACAAGGCUGUAUCUUUACUAACAAAACACAACGGAACAAGUCUUUGCAGCUCUUUUUCCUGGAGCAACUCCGAGCGGAUUCGUGUGGCCUCUAAGAUUCUGGGAAGUGUUAAAACUUACAUGCAUACAUAAACGUUAUUCACCAGUUAAAUAAAAAUCUAAUUAUGCUAUAAAGACAUUUUCAGUCUAAUGAGACAGGCUUUUAGGGAGAGAGAGAAAAAAGUAGCUUGUGUAUGCAGGCAUUUCGGGAUAAUUAACUUAAACCAGCCCUCAACAUGCAUCUGAUGAAUGAUUCCAUGAUUUAUAUCUUCAUGAAUGUUCAACCUCCUUGCCAAGAGAUGGGCCUGCUCUUUCGCCUUCAAUCAUGGUCCCACUUUGGAGAAGUAUGAAGAUUAUAUGAAGAUUGUAUUAUUUGUGGAGUGGGAGAGUGGACAGAUAACCAUUGAAUCACUGAAUUCUCUAACUGGUCCUGGAAUAGAACUGGAAUAGAAUUCUAGAAUCCUAGAUUCAAUCAUAGAAUCAAUCAUGGAAUCCUAGAAUCAUGGAAUCCUAGAUUCAGAUAGAGUCAAGAAUCAAUCAUAGAAUCCUAGAUUCAAUCAUAGAAUCAUGGAAUCCUAGAUUCAGAUAGAGUCAAUCAUUGAAUCAAUCAUAGAAUCCUAGAUUCAAUCAUAGAAUCAUGGAAUCCUAGAUUCAGAUAGAGUCAAUCAUAGAAUCAAUCAUGGAAUCCUAGAAUCAUGGAAUCCUAGAUUCAACCAUAGAAUCCUAAAUUCAAUCCUAGAAUCAGUCAUGGAAUCCUAGAAUCCUGGAAUCCUAGAUUCAAUCCUAGAAUCAAUUAUAGAAUCAUAGAAUCCUAGGGCUGGAAGAAUCUUGGAGGUCUUCAGAUCCAACCCACUGCCCAUAAUAGGAAUCUUUAUUCCAUCCUAGAUAAAUGAUUGGCCAAUCUUUUCUUAAAAACCUCCAGCGAUGGAGCACCCACAACUUCCGCGAGCCUAUCAGGGCACAGAUUUGGGAGCUUCCAAUGCCACACAAACAGACUUGGGAGACAACACACAUCCCACAGGCCAAAAUCACCCUGUGCAAGAACGAUGAAUUUCACAAUCCAGAACUCUCUGGAACUUCCAUACUCUUGUAAUUUAUGUUCUUCUGAUGCCAGGCCUUAAGAAUCAUUAUUUUUUGGAAAGGAAAAUGACGUCAAUUAGAAACACCUUUUAAAAAAAAAAAAAAAAGUUUUGCGUCAGCAAACAACACAGGAGCCCAGAAAGUGCCCUUCAGGGCAUUUUUUUCUUAAUUUACUUUUCGUCUGUCAAGAAAUGUUGUAGAGUAACCUUCUCAUUAGCCAGUUAUGUUUGCAAUAUUAGCUACAUAUGAUGGCAAUUAGAGGCAGAAUCUCUAAAGGUCUUUCUUGAAUGUUAAAGCCUAGCCAUGAUUAUUUUUCAGGAGGUUUUAAGUUUGUUUUUGUUUUUUUAACAAUAAAGGGCUGUCAUGGAAAGGAGUAGAGAGAUGAAAAUAUGGUAACUGUUGCUUUAAAUUACAGCUAUCCUAACUUCAAAGGAUAUUCAAUCAGAACCCUUGGCAGAUCUAGACAACUAAGCUUUUCUUAACCUAAGAAACAGCUUGACAGUUCCACCCUCUCAUCUUUCUUUCUUUCUUUCUUUCUUUCUUUCUUUCUUUCUUUCUUUCUUUCUUUCUUUCUUUCUUCCUUCCUUCCUUCCUUCCUUCCUUCCUUCCUUCCCCUAUCUCUCUUUCUCUCUCUCCCUCUUUCUUUCUUUCUUUCUUUCUUUCUUUCUUUCUUUCUUUCUUUCUUUCUUUCUUUCUUGUUACUUGAUCUCAAAAAGAAAAGAGGAAACAUUUCUAAAAUGUUAGCCACUCUUCCAACAGAAAGCCUAGAGUAUGUCCUGCAUGUUGAGAAUAUAUUGUAUAUUGUCUUUCAUUUGUUCUCUGUUUCCUAUUGUUUUGUUUCACCGUGGGUCUCCACAGGAAUGGAUCAAUCAGGAAGAAGAACGGACUUGGGGGGAAAAAAUGUACUCUUAAAAUAAAAUCUACAGCAUAAGGCUCUUUUCAGAGACUUUACUCCCGGCAUCUCUUCCACCCAAUCCAAAGCCACCAUUCCAAAAAAAAAAAAAUAAAUAAAAAAAUGUUUUGUGCGUCAAGAAUGCACUUUGGAGUAUUUUCCAUGCUGGAAUUUGGAAUAUUUGAAUAUCUGCUAGGCUUUUUCCAUUAAUAUUUAGCACAUCCAUAUAAAAACAUACUCUUGGACCAUGGCCUAUAUCUCGAAUCAGUGGUGUCCACUUUAAAUUUCAAUGAAGCCAACAUGCCUACUCUCAGCCACUUCUGCCCUAAUCACCUCUUGAGUGGACUACUGUAUAAGGCGCACUACAUGGGGCUGCCCUAGGAGACUACCUGGAAACUGUGUGAAAUAUGGCAGUGCAGACAGCUAAAUGUGCCCCAAGAAUGGUACAUAUUAUAUCUUUCCACUGCAAGCUACAUUGGUUAUCAGUUUGCUUCUGAGUCCAAUUUAGAGCCCUUUAUGGCAUGGGGCCAACUUAUUUGAAGUACUUCUUCUCCAUGGUUACAUCUACCCAUCCCACCAUGUCCAGCAGGAGAGACAUGUGAUGGAUCCCACCUGCUAAGAAGCUCCAUCUGACAGGACCCAGGAGAUGAGCCUUUUCUCCCCAUGGCCCCUGCCCUAUGGAACAUCAUUUCUCCCAGGGAAGCCCAUGUCUGCGAUCAGUCAACUGGAUUCCUGGCAGUUCAGAAGAAUGUAAGAGUCCAGCAGCAGAAACGCCUCCAUAUUUGAGCUUUGGAUAACUUCAGCCAAGAUCUUCUGAAGUAUCUCCCUGGAAAACCUCAUGGGACUAAGAUGUACUAAGUUUGAAAUUCUUUCCCACUCCUGCAUAUUGUAGCGCCCGGCGUCAUGACACAACCUGUUCUAGCAGAUCUGGAACCACCAGCCAAAACAAUAGGUGGGAAGAUGACAUGUACAGAAGUGAUUGUACCCUUCCCUCCAUCGGGUGACUCAUCUGGUUGCAUCCUCUGCCAAGCGUUGCUUCCGUUAUUUUCCAAGGGAAAAGCAGCUUGGUUCACUUCGGCUGCCAAACUUAUAAACAAGAGACAGGGAUUUUUAAUAAAUCACUAUUGCAGUUAUAAACAUA